rnacentral:rRNA from 1 species
UACGUAGGGUGCGAGCGUUAAUCGGAGUUACUGGGCGUAAAGCGUGCGCAGGCGGUAAGUUAAGUCUGAUGUGAAAGCCCCGGGCUCAACCUGGGAAUGGCAUUGGAAACUGGCUUGCUAGAGUGUGGCAGAGGGGGGUGGAAUUCCGCGUGUAGCAGUGAAAUGCGUAGAGAUGCGGAGGAACACCGAUGGCGAAGGCAGCCCCCUGGGCCAACACUGACGCUCAGGCACGAAAGCGUGGGGAGCAAACAGG